rnacentral:rRNA from 2 species
GGCGAACUGGUGAGUAACACGUGGGAAAUCUGCCCAGAAGCAGGGGAUAACACUUGGAAACAGGUGCUAAUACCGUAUAACAACAAAAUCCGCAUGGAUUUUGUUUGAAAGGUGGCUUCGGCUAUCACUUCUGGAUGAUCCCGCGGCGUAUUAGUUAGUUGGUGAGGUAAAGGCCCACCAAGACGAUGAUACGUAGCCGACCUGAGAGGGUAAUCGGCCACAUUGGGACUGAGACACGGCCCAAACUCCUACGGGAGGCAGCAGUAGGGAAUCUUCCACAAUGGACGAAAGUCUGAUGGAGCAAUGCCGCGUGAGUGAAGAAGGGUUUCGGCUCGUAAAACUCUGUUGUUAAAGAAGAACACCUUUGAGAGUAACUGUUCAAGGGUUGACGGUAUUUAACCAGAAAGCCACGGCUAACUACGUGCCAGCAGCCGCGGUAAUACGUAGGUGGCAAGCGUUGUCCGGAUUUAUUGGGCGUAAAGCGAGCGCAGGCGGUUUUUUAAGUCUGAUGUGAAAGCCUUCGGCUUAACCGGAGAAGUGCAUCGGAAACUGGGAGACUUGAGUGCAGAAGAGGACAGUGGAACUCCAUGUGUAGCGGUG